GACGAACGCUGGCGGCGUGCUUAACACAUGCAAGUCGAACGAAGAGCGACGGAAGCUUGCUUCUAUCACUCUUAGUGGCGAACGGGUGAGUAACGCGUAAUCAACCUGCCCUUCAGAGGGGGACAACAGUUGGAAACGACUGCUAAUACCGCAUACGAUCUAAUCUCGGCAUCGAGGAUGGAUGAAAGGUGGCCUCUACAUGUAAGCUAUCACUGAAGGAGGGGAUUGCGUCUGAUUAGCUAGUUGGAGGGGUAACGGCCCACCAAGGCGAUGAUCAGUAGCCGGUCUGAGAGGAUGAACGGCCACAUUGGGACUGAGACACGGCCCAGACUCCUACGGGAGGCAGCAGUGGGGAAUCUUCCGCAAUGGACGAAAGUCUGACGGAGCAACGCCGCGUGAGUGAUGACGGCCUUCGGGUUGUAAAGCUCUGUUAAUCGGGACGAAAGGCCUUCUUGCGAAUAGUGAGAAGGAUUGACGGUACCGGAAUAGAAAGCCACGGCUAACUACGUG
rnacentral:rRNA from 1 species